rnacentral:rRNA from 1 species
ACGUAGGGUGCGAGCGUUAAUCGGAAUUACUGGGCGUAAAGGGUGCGCAGGCGGUUGUGCAAGACAGGCGUGAAAUCCCCGGGCUUAACCUGGGAAUGGCGCUUGUGACUGCACGGCUAGAGUGUGUCAGAGGGGGGUAGAAUUCCACGUGUAGCAGUGAAAUGCGUAGAUAUGUGGAGGAAUACCGAUGGCGAAGGCAGCCCCCUGGGAUAACACUGACGCUCAUGCACGAAAGCGUGGGGAGCAAACAG